GAAUUUAUUUAGGGUCAGCCUGCCCAGUGGCUUAAAGCUAAACGGCCGCGGUAUCUUGACCGUGCAAAGGUAGCAUAAUCACUUGUCUUUUAAAUGGAGACUUGUAUGAACGGCGAAACCUUUUUCAACUGUCUCUCCUCCCACCCUUCAAAAUUUCUUUCCGUGUGAAGAAGCACAGAUAUACCAGAAAGACGAGAAGACCCUGUCGAGCUUUAACCAUUAAGUGAACACUCCUACUUACUUAGAUAUCACCUAAAGGUUUUGGUUGGGGCAACCGUGGAGAAAAAAAAUCCUCCAGAACAAAUAGAAGAAAACCCUUCACUAAUUAUCAACACUUUAAGAACCAGGAACUGGUAUUCGGAAAAAGUUACCGCAGGGAUAACAGCGUUAUCUCCUCUGAGAGUCCUUAUUGACGAGGAGGCUUGCGACCUCGAUGUUGGAUUGGGGCCCCCUUAGGGUGCAGAAGCUCUAAACGGUUAGACUGUUCGUCUAUUAAAGCCCUACGUGAUCUGAGUUCAGACCGGAAGAAGGA
rnacentral:rRNA from 1 species